GGAAGGAUCAUUAUUGAGCAUAUUUGGAUCGAGGGAAGACGAAAAGAUGGUCGAGAUUGUCGCUGGCUCUUGAGCAUGUGCACAUCUUUGUUUCUUUUUUUCUGUCUGCCCUUUGUCCUCUUUCACACACACACCUGUGCACCUAAUGGUAGGGCCUCGAGAGAGGAUCCCUAUGUAUUUCUACACAUUACACCGAUCGCAUGUCAUAGAAUGUACAUGAAUUGAAUGAAGUAUACAACUUUCAGCAACGGAUCUCUUGGCUCUCGCAUCGAUGAAGAACGCAGCGAAUUGCGAUAAGUAAUGUGAAUUGCAGAUUUCCAGUGAAUCAUCGAAUCUUUGAACGCACCUUGCGCUCCUUGGUAUUCCGAGGAGCAUGCCUGUUUGAGUGUCAUUGAAUUCUCUCAACCACACACAAGUCGAUCGAGACAAAUGGGUUGGUUGGAGUUGGGAGUUGCUGGCGAGCCGAAAGGUGGUUCAGCUCUCUUGAAAUGCAUUAGUGAGUGGUCAGUGGAUGGUGUCUGUCGAUGAUGUGCACGGCCUUGGACGUGAUAAUGAUCGUUGGGGCUGGAGCAUCCUGGACAUUCGAUGUUGGCCAUCGCUUCGAACUGCAAAACCUGGCUUGGCUAUUAGUUUCGGUCAUGAGACCGAGAUGAACGCGGCAAGGACUUGAAAGGUUGACCUCAAAUCAGGUAGGACUACCCGCUGAACUUAAGCAUAUCAAUAAGCGGAGGAAAAGAAACUAACAAGGAUUCCCCUAGUAACUGCGAGUGAAGCGGGAAAAGCUCAAAUUUUGAAUCUGGCGGUCUUUGGGUCGUCCGAGUUGUAAUCUAGAGAAGCGUCUUCCGCGCUGGACCGUGUACAAGUCUCCUGGAAGGGAGCGUCAUAGAGGGUGAGAAUCCCGUCUCUGACACGGACGUCCCAGGGCUAUGUGAUGCGCUCUCGACGAGUCGAGUUGUUUGGGAAUGCAGCUCAAAAUGGGUGGUAAAUUCCAUCUAAAGCUAAAUACAGGCGAGAGACCGAUAGCGAACAAGUACCGUGAGGGAAAGAUGAAAAGAACUUUGGAAAGAGAGUUAAACAGUACGUGAAAUUGCUGAAAGGGAAACGCUUGAUGUCAGUCGCGUUCGCCAGGGAUCAACCUUGCUGUUUGGCUGGGUGCACUUCCUGGUGGACGGGUCAGCGUCAGUUUCGGACAUGGUACAAUGGCUGAAGGAAUGUGGCACUCUUUGGAGUGUGUUUAUAGCCUUUGGUCGGAUGCCAUGAGCGGGACUGAGGAACUCGGCACGACUCUGUCUGUGUCUAGGAUGCUGGCAUAAUGGCCUUCAGCGACCCGUCUUGAAACACGGACCAAGGAGUCUAACAUGCCUGCGAGUGUUUGGGUGGAAAACUCGAGCGCGCAAUGAAAGUGAAAGUCGAAACCUCUGUCGUGGAGGGCAUCGACGCCCGGACCCGAGUCUUUGACAAAGGAUCUGCGGUAGAGCAAGCAUGUUGGGACCCGAAAGAUGGUGAACUAUGCCUGAAUAGGGUGAAGCCAGAGGAAACUCUGGUGGAGGCUCGUAGCGAU
rnacentral:rRNA from 2 species